CUCCCCGUAGCGCAAUUGGAUAGCGCGCAGCCCUGCGGAGGCUGAGGUUGCGAGUUCGAGCCUCGCCGGGGAGGC
rnacentral:tRNA from 1 species